rnacentral:rRNA from 1 species
GAUGAACGCUAGCGGCAGGCUUAAUACAUGCAAGUCGAGGGGCAGCAUGAGUGUAGCAAUACAUUUGAUGGCGACCGGCAAACGGGUGCGGAACACGUACACAACCUUCCUAUAAGUGGGGAAUAGCCCAGAGAAAUUUGGAUUAAUACCCCGUAACAUAAUGAUGUGGCAUCACAUUAUUAUUAUAGCUACGGCGCUUAUUGAUGGGUGUGCGGCUGAUUAGAUCGUUGGCGGGGUAACGGCCCACCAAGUCUACGAUCAGUAGCUGAUGUGAGAGCAUGAUCAGCCACACGGGAACUGAGACACGGGCCCGACUCCUACGGGAGGCAGCAGUAAGGAAUAUUGGUCAAUGGACGCAAGUCUGAACCAGCCAUGCCGCGUGAAGGAUUAAGGUCCUCUGGAUUGUAAACUUCUUUUAUCUGGGACGAAAAAAGGCGAUUCUUCGUCACUUGACGGUACCAGAUGAAUAAGCACCGGCUAACUACGUGCCAGCAGCCGCCGUAAAAC